rnacentral:tRNA from 1 species
GCCUGACUGGCUCAUUUGGUAGAGCGUGCGACUCUUGGUCUUGGGGUCAUGGGUUUGAGCCCCAUGUUGGGUG